rnacentral:rRNA from 1 species
GACGAACGCUGGCGGCGUGCUUAACACAUGCAAGUCGAACGGAGUGGCGAACGGGUGAGUAACACGUGGGAGACUUGCCUUUCACGUCGGGAUAAGAUUGGGAACCUGGGUCUAAUACCCGUUAGUGAAAGAUGAGCCCGCGGGCUAUGAGCUUGUAGGUGGGGUAAUGGCCUACCAAGGCGUUGACGGGUAGCCGGCCUGGGAGGGUGGACGGGGACAUGGGGACUGCGAUACGGCGCAGAGUCCUACAGGGGGCAGCAGGGGGGAAUAUUGUACAAGCGGGGGAAGUCUGAGACAGAGACGCUGGGUGGGGAAGGAACGCCUUCGGGGUGUAAACUCCUUUAGAUAGGGACGCGGUACCUGUAUAAGAAGCACCGGCUAACUACGUGCCAGCAGCCGCGGUAAUUC